rfam:Folsomia candida strain VT population Fcan01_Sc001, whole genome shotgun sequence.
GUGGGCUACGGGGACAUGUAUCCAAAAACGAAUAUAGGGAAGAUGAUUGGGAGCGUGUGCUGCGUUUGUGGGGUGCUCGUCAUCGCCUUGCCCAUUCCGAUCAUCGUGAAUAAC